AAUUGGAGGGCAAGUCUGGUGCCAGCAGCCGCGGUAAUUCCAGCUCCAAUAGCGUAUAUUAAAGUUGUUGCAGUUAAAAAGCUCGUAGUUGAAUUUCGGGAUCAAUAUUUCGGUCAUGCCGUUGGUAUGCACUGUUAUCAUUGAUUUCUCACCUUCUAAAGAACCGUAAUGCCAUUAAUUUGGUGUUGCGGGGAAUUAGGACUGUUACCUUGAAAAAAUUAGAGUGUUUAAAGCAGGCUCACGCUUGAAUACAUUAGCAUGGAAUAAUGAAAUAGGACAUCCGAUUCUAUUUUGUUGGUUUCUAGGAUCGAUGUAAUGAUUAAUAGGGAUAGUUGGGGGCAUUAGUAUUCAAUUGUCAGAGGUGAAAUUCUUGGAUUUAUUGAAGACUAACUACUGCGAAAGCAUUUGCCAAGGAUGUUUUCAUUAAUCAAGAACGAAAGUUAGGGGAUCGAAGACGAUCAGAUACCGUCGUAGUCUUAACCAUAAACUAUGCCGACUAGGGAUCGGAUGAUGUUAAUUUUUUAAUGACUCAUUCGGCGCCUUACGGGAAACCAAAGUGU
rnacentral:rRNA from 1 species